AAUGAAUGCUGAAUUGAAGCUCACAGUGUGUGUGUGUGUGUGUUGUGUGUGUGUGUGUGUGUGUGUGUGUGUGUGUGUACGCAGAGGGGUGGGCAACAUUGAUCCAACCUAUCAUUGUAUCUGUGAUUUCAUGUUAUGAUAUAAUUCACUGCAGUGA